GGAUGUGAGGGGGACCUGGCCGCCACCGUUGUCACCCCGCUGGUCCCCAAGGCUGAUGCAUCUGAUCUGGAUGGUCGUGACCUUUGCUCCCUGGACACUCCAUGUUUGUCCCUGAUGAACUUGUGGACUUAGUGGAAGUGGAGAACCACCCUUUAGAGGAAGACUGUUCCUCGGUAUGUGUACGGGUAGCUGCAUUUCCUACCAGACCUUCCAAACAAGCUCUCAAAACUGAUCAAGAUGUGUGUGUAUCAGCUCCCCAGGAUGCAGGUAAUUAUGUUACAUUUCAAACAUACACU
ensembl:misc_RNA 7SK 7SK RNA